GGCUCGCAGGCGGUUUCUUAAGUCUGAUGUGAAAGCCCCCGGCUCAACCGGGGAGGGUCAUUGGAAACUGGGAAACUUGAGUGCAGAAGAGGAGAGUGGAAUUCCACGUGUAGCGGUGAAAUGCGUAGAGAUGUGGAGGAACACCAGUGGCGAAGGCGACUCUCUGGUCUGUAACUGACGCUGAGGAGCGAAAGCGUGGGGAGCGAACAGGAUUAGAUACCCUGGUAGUCCACGCCGUAAACGAUGAGUGCUAAGUGUUAGGGGGUUUCCGCCCCUUAGUGCUGCAGCUAACGCAUUAAGCACUCCGCCUGGGGAGUACGGUCGCAAGACUGAAACUCAAAGGAAUUGACGGGGGCCCGCACAAGCGGUGGAGCAUGUGGUUUAAUUCGAAGCAACGCGAAGAACCUUACCAGGUCUUGACAUCCUCUGACAACCCUAGAGAUAGGGCUUUCCCUUCGGGGACAGAGUGACAGGUGGUGCAUGGUUGUCGUCAGCUCGUGUCGUGAGAUGUUGGGUUAAGUCCCGCAACGAGCGCAACCCUUGAUCUUAGUUGCCAGCAUUCAGUUGGGCACUCUAAGGUGACUGCCGGU
rnacentral:rRNA from 1 species